UUACAAUGGCAGGUACAGCGGGAAGCCAGGCGGCGACGCCGAAGCGGAACCCGAAAACCUGUCUCAGUUCGGAUCGGAGUCUGCAACCCGACUCCGUGAAGCUGGAUUCGCUAGUAAUCGCGCAUCAGCCAUGGCGCGGUGAAUACGUUCCCGGGCCUUGUACACACCGCCCGUCAAGCCAUGGAAGCCGGGGGUGCCUGAAGUGUGCAGCCGCAAGGAGCGCCCUAAGGUAAAACCGGUGACUGGGGCUAAGUCGUAACAAGGUAAC
rnacentral:rRNA from 1 species